GACGAACGCUGGCGGCGUGCUUAACACAUGCAAGUCGAACGGAAAGGCCCUGCUUUUGUGGGGUUCUCGAGUGGCGAACGGGUGAGUAACACGUGAGUAACCUGCCCUUGACUUUGGGAUAACUUCAGGAAACUGGGGCUAAUACCGGAUAGGUGCUUCUGCUGCAUGGUGGGGGUUGGAAAGUUUCGGCGGUUGGGGAUGGACUCGCGGCUUAUCAGCUUGUUGGUGGGGUAUUGGCUUACCAAGGCUUUGACGGGUAGCCUGCCUGAGAGGGUGACCGGCAACAGUGGGACUGAGAUAAGGCCCAGACUCCUACGGGAGGCAGCAGGGGGGAAUAUUGCACAAUGGGAGAAGGCCUGAUGCAGCAACGCCGCGUGCGGGAUGACGGCCUUCGGGUUGUAAACCGCUUUCGCCUGUGACGAAGCGUGGGUGACGGUAAUGGGUAAAGAAGCACCGGCUAACUACGUG
rnacentral:rRNA from 1 species